rnacentral:rRNA from 1 species
UACGUAGGCAGCAAGCGUUGUUCGGAAUUACUGGGCGUAAAGAGUACGUAGGUGGUUUGCCAAGUCCGAUGUGAAAUCUCCUGGCUUAACUGGGAGGGUGCGUUAGAUACUGGCAGGCUUGAGUGUGGGAGAGGAGAGCGGAAUUCCUGGUGUAGCGGUGAAAUGCGUAGAUAUCAGGAGGAACGCCUGUGGUGUAGACGGCUCUCUGGACCAUAACUGACGCUGAGGUACGAAAGCGUGGGUAGCAAACAGG